rnacentral:rRNA from 1 species
GCACAAGCGGUGGAGCAUGUGGUUAAUUCGAUGCAACGCGAAGAACCUUACCUGGUCUUGACAUCCACAGAACUUUCCAGAGAUGGAUUGGUGCCUUCGGGAACUGUGAGACAGGUGCUGCAUGGCUGUCGUCAGCUCGUGUUGUGAAAUGUUGGGUUAAGUCCCGCAACGAGCGCAACCCUUAUCCUUUGUUGCCAGCGGUCCGGCCGGGAACUCAAAGGAGACUGCCAGUGAUAAACUGGAGGAAGGUGGGAUGACGUCAAGUCAUCAUGGCCCUUACGACCAGGGCUACACACGUGCUACAAUGGCGCAUACAAAGAGAAGCGACCUCGCGAGAGCAAGCGGACCUCAUAAAGUGCGUCGUAGUCCGGAUUGGAGUCUGCAACUCGACUCCAUGAAGUCGGAAUCGCUAGUAAUCGUGGAUCAGAAUGCCACGGUGAAUACGUUCCCGGGCCUU